rnacentral:rRNA from 1 species
CGGGGGGGCGUGCUAUACAUGCAGUCGACGCUUCUUUUCCCACCGGAGCUUGCUCCACCGGGAAAAGAGGAGUGGCGAACGGGUGAGUAACACGUGGGUAACCUGCCCAUCAGAAGGGGAUAACACUUGGAAACAGGUGCUAAUACCGUAUAACAAUCGAAACCGCAUGGUUUCGUUUUGAAAGGCGCUUUACGGUGCCGCUGAUGGAUGGACCCGCGGUGCAUUAGCUAGUUGGUGAGGUAACGGCUCACCAAGGCCACGAUGCAUAGCCGACCUGAGAGGGUGAUCGGCCACAUUGGGACUGAGACACGGCCCAAACUCCUACGGGAGGCAGCAGUAGGGAAUCUUCGGCAAUGGACGAAAGUCUGACCGAGCAACGCCGCGUGAGUGAAGAAGGUUUUCGGAUCGUAAAACUCUGUUGUUAGAGAAGAACAAGGGUGAGAGUAACUGUUCACCCCUUGACGGUAUCUAACCAGAAAGCCACGGCUAACUACGUGCCAGCAGCCGCGGUAAUACGUAGGUGGCAAGCGUUGUCCGGAUUUAUUGGGCGUAAAGCGAGCGCAGGCGGUUUCUUAAGUCUGAUGUGAAAGCCCCCGGCUCAACCGGGGAGGGUCAUUGGAAACUGGGAGACUUGAGUGCAGAAGAGGAGAGUGGAAUUCCAUGUGUAGCGGUGAAAUGCGUAGAUAUAUGGAGGAACACCAGUGGCGAAGGCGGCUCUCUGGUCUGUAACUGACGCUGAGGCUCGAAAGCGUGGGGAGCAAACAGGAUUAGAUACCCUGGUAGUCCACGCCGUAAACGAUGAGUGCUAAGUGUUGGAGGGUUUCCGCCCUUCAGUGCUGCAGCUAACGCAUUAAGCACUCCGCCUGGGGAGUACGACCGCAAGGUUGAAACUCAAAGGAAUUGACGGGGGCCCGCACAAGCGGUGGAGCAUGUGGUUUAAUUCGAAGCAACGCGAAGAACCUUACCAGGUCUUGACAUCCUUUGACCACUCUAGAGAUAGAGCUUCCCCUUCGGGGGCAAAGUGACAGGUGGUGCAUGGUUGUCGUCAGCUCGUGUCGUGAGAUGUUGGGUUAAGUCCCGCAACGAGCGCAACCCUUAUUGUUAGUUGCCAUCAUUUAGUUGGGCACUCUAGCAAGACUGCCGGUGACAAACCGGAGGAAGGUGGGGAUGACGUCAAAUCAUCAUGCCCCUUAUGACCUGGGCUACACACGUGCUACAAUGGGAAGUACAACGAGUCGCGAAGUCGCGAGGCUAAGCUAAUCUCUUAAAGCUUCUCUCAGUUCGGAUUGUAGGCUGCAACUCGCCUACAUGAAGCCGGAAUCGCUAGUAAUCGCGGAUCAGCACGCCGCGGUGAAUACGUUCCCGGGCCUUGUACACACCGCCCGUCACACCACGAGAGUUUGUAACACCCGAAGUCGGUGAGGUAACCUUUUUGGAGCCAGCCGCCUAAGGGGUGU